UACGUAGGUGGCAAGCGUUAUCCGGAAUUAUUGGGCGUAAAGCGCGCGCAGGCGGUUUCUUAAGUCUGAUGUGAAAGCCCACGGCUCAACCGUGGAGGGUCAUUGGAAACUGGGGAACUUGAGUGCAGAAGAGAAAAGCGGAAUUCCACGUGUAGCGGUGAAAUGCGUAGAGAUGUGGAGGAACCCCAGUGGCGAAGGCGGCUUUUUGGUCUGUAACUGACGCUGAGGCGCGAAAGCGUGGGGAGCAAACAGG
rnacentral:rRNA from 1 species